AUUGAACGCUGGCGGCAGGCUUAACACAUGCAAGUCGAACGAGUGGCGGACGGGUGAGUAAUGUCUGGGAAACUGCCUGAUGGAGGGGGAUAACUACUGGAAACGGUAGCUAAUACCGCAUACCAUCAGAUGUGCCCAGAUGGGAUUAGCUUGUUGGUGGGGUAAUGGCUCACCAAGGCGACGAUCCCUAGCUGGUCUGAGAGGAUGACCAGCCACACUGGAACUGAGACACGGUCCAGACUCCUACGGGAGGCAGCAGUGGGGAAUAUUGCACAAUGGGCGCAAGCCUGAUGCAGCCAUGCCGCGUGUAUGAAGAAGGCCUUCGGGUUGUAAAGUACUUUCAGCGGGGAGGCGUUACCCGCAGAAGAAGCACCGGCUAACUCCGUGCCAGCAGCCGCGGUAAUUC
rnacentral:rRNA from 1 species